AAGUAAAAGUCGUAACAAGGUUUCCGUAGGUGAACCUGCGGAAGGAUCAUUAUUGAAAUUAUAGGCAAAGGUUGUAGCUGGCCUCUCGGGGCAUGUGCACGCCUGAGCCCCUUAAUCCACACACACCUGUGAACCAAUUGUAAGGGCCCCCUGAAAAGGGCCUUUACGUCUUAUUCAUCAACCCAUUGCAUGUCUCAGAAUGUAAACAUAUGUCCUCGCCUUAAAAAGCGUUGAUAAACUUAUACAACUUUCAACAACGGAUCUCUUGGCUCUCGCAUCGAUGAAGAACGCAGCGAAAUGCGAUAAGUAAUGUGAAUUGCAGAUUUUCAGUGAAUCAUCGAAUCUUUGAACGCACCUUGCGCUCCUUGGUAUUCCGAGGAGCAUGCCUGUUUGAGUGUCAUUAAAUUCUCAACUCCGAUCGAUUUGUUUCGACCUCGGAGCUUGGACUUUGGAGUGUGCUGGCGUCGGUCGGCUCCUCUCAAAUGCAUCAGCGGAAUCUAACGUUUCGGACGUCAGUGUGAUAAUCACGUUGCGCUGUCAACCGAUCCUGAAAGGCCCGCUCAUAAUGGUCUUCGGACAACUUCAUAUCAAAUUUGACCUCAAAUCAGGUAGGACUACCCGCUGAACUUAAGCAUA
rnacentral:rRNA from 1 species